UACGAAGGGGGCUAGCGUUGUUCGGAUUUACUGGGCGUAAAGCGCACGUAGGCGGUUUUUUAAGUCAGAGGUGAAAGCCCGGAGCUCAACUCCGGAAUUGCCUUUGAGACUGGGAGACUUGAAUCCAGGAGAGGUGAGUGGAAUUCCGAGUGUAGAGGUGAAAUUCGUAGAUAUUCGGAAGAACACCAGUGGCGAAGGCGGCUCACUGGACUGGUAUUGACGCUGAGGUGCGAAAGCGUGGGGAGCAAACAGG
rnacentral:rRNA from 1 species